rnacentral:rRNA from 1 species
AUACGGAGGAUCCGAGCGUUAUCCGGAUUUAUUGGGUUUAAAGGGAGCGCAGGCGGCCAUUUAAGUCAGCGGUUAAAUCGUGGGGCUCAACCCCAUUCUGCCGUUGAUACUGGGUGGCUUGAUUGCGGUCGAGGUUGGCGGAAUUCGUUGUGUAGCGGUGAAAUGCAUAGAUAUGACGAAGAACACCGAUUGCGUAGGCAGCUGACCAGACCGCAAAUGACGCUCAUGCACGAAAGUGCGGGGAUCGAACAGGAUUAGAUACCCUGGUAGUCCGCACAGUAAACGAUGAAUACUUGUUUUCGGCGAUAUAAUGUCGGAGGCAAAGCGAAAGCGUUAAGUAUUCCACCAGGGGAGUACGCCGGCAACGGUGAAACUUAAAGGAAUUGACGGGG